rnacentral:rRNA from 1 species
GACGAACGCUGGCGGCGUGCCUAACACAUGCAAGUCGAGCGAACAGACGAGGAGUUUGCUCCUCUGACGUUUGCGGAGGACGGGAGAGUAACAUGUGGAUAACCUACCUAUCAGACUGGGAUCAUCUGGGGAAACCGGAGCUUAUACCGGAUAAUAUACUGAACCGUAUGGGUCAAUAGUGAAAGUCGGCUUUGGUGUCUCUACUAGAUGGAUCCGGGCCGCUUUAGCUAGUUGGUAAGGUACAGGCUUACCAAGGGAAGGAUGCGUAGCCGACCGGAGAGAGGGGUAGGCCACCUUGGAAGGGAGACGCGGUCCUGACUCCUACGAUAGGCAGCAGUAGGGAAUCGUCCGCAGUGGGCGAGAGCUUUACAGAGCAACGCCGCGUGAGUGAUGAAGGUCUUCCGAGCGUAAAGCUGUGUUAUGAGUUGUGAACAAAUGUGUAAUUAACUGUGCACGUCUUGACGGUACCUGGUCAAGAAGCCACGGCUAACUACGUG